AUUCCAUUCUGCCCUCUCCACCCGAGCCCGACCCUCUCUUCUUCCCCGAUCCCCUUUGAUCACGCGCCCCUUUCCUCUGCCCUAGCCUUUCUCUUCUCCGACGCCGACGACGUCAUCCGGGGAAGUGAUUGCCGGCGGCUGAGCACCCCAUCUCCUCCAUCGAUCCAGCUAGUUUGGAGGUCGCGUUUCCUUCCGGAUCAUCGCCUCUGCGCGGGCAACCUCUCGGUGGAGUUGAAAGGAGAUCCGAACCCUAGCCUUCGCCAUCUACCUUGCGGAGCCGUGCCACCCGAUCGCCGGUGUGGAAGAGCAAUUAGGGCUUCAAAGGAUUGAGGUUACAGGAUUGGAGAAGAAGAGUGAGGUUCUGUUCUGAUCAGAUCUUGGACUUCUCAUUGUUGCCGAUUGAAGUCUCAGAUUGGAGUAAGGUUAGGUUCUGUGGUUAUGAGGUGUAUCCAGCAGAGAAGUUAUGUAGGUUGUGAGGUUGUUUGUUUUUGGUUUGGCAGCCACCCAUCCAUCAGUGAUCCAGCAUCAACAGCAGCUGAGAUUCGAGGACUCUGAUUCGAGACGGCCGUCUCGACUUUGGAUUUGGCGUGAUAGUACCUCCUAUUUGA